ACUGCUGGGUAGGAACCUUAAGCGUUUCCUGUUGUACAGUCCACGAAUCUUUGCUUUGUGUCCACUUUUUCCUUCGUGUGCUGUUUGUCCUCAUUUCUUUUGGCAGCAAGGGGUAACAACAGCAUGGAGUGAAAGCUCUCAGUUUUGUCCUUAUUUAUUUAUGCAUUUCCCC